CCUACGUGUGGCUGCAGUGGGGAAUAUUUCACAAUGGGGGAAACCCUGAUGGAGCGACGCCGCGUGAGUGAUGAAGUAUUUCGGUAUUUAAAGCUCUAUCAGCAGGGAAGAAAAUGAUGUUACCUGAUUUAGAAGCCCCGUCUAACUACGUGCCAGCAGCCGCGGUCAUACGUAGGUGGCAACCGUUAGACUGAUUUACUGGGUGGAAAGGGUGGGUAGAUGUCCGCAAAAUGCUUGAGUGAAAGGCCGGGUCACAACCCCGAGACUGAUCUGGAAACUAUUGAACUUGAGUGCAGGAGAGGGAAGCGGAAUGCCUAGUGUAGCGGUGAAAUGCGUAGAUAUAAGGAGGAACACCAGUGGCGAAGGCGGCUUACUGGACUGUAACUGACGUUGAGGCUCGAAAGCGUGGGGAGCAAACAGGAUUAGAUACCCGUGUAGUC
rnacentral:rRNA from 1 species